rnacentral:lncRNA from 1 species
GUACGCCGGGACCUGGUGCUGGGGCAGCAGCUGGCAGCCGCUGUUGACGUGGCUGAGGACUUUCUGUUUGAGCUGCGCCACCUGCUCGCGCAGCAGGCUGGCGGUGGACGCCAGCUCGGUGUUCUGGCUUUUGAGGGUCUUGACUUUCUCCUCCAGGCGCGAGAUACGCUCCAGCUUGCGCUUGCGGCAUUUGGAGGCGGCGAUGCGGUUGCGCAGCCUCUUGCGCUCCGCCUUGAUGCGUUCUUGCGUGUCCAUGUCGAUGGGCGACAGCGGAGGGCUGUCGCCGAAGCUCGGCACGUCCGGCACGGUCUGCGGCUCGUCCUUGAGCGCGGCCAGGCGCGGUGGAUGCGGAGGUGGCGGCGGCCCCAGCGCGCCCGGGGGCGGCGGGAAGGGCACUGGCUCCGCGGCGAAAGCCACGGUGGCCGCGCCCCCAGGGGGCCCGGCGCCACCCGCGAAACUGCUCAGGUUGGCGUAGACCGGGGUCUCCGUGGCCCCGGGGGUGGCGGCCAGGUCGGCGGGCGCGGGAGGCGCGGGAGCCCCUGA